GCCCGACUAGCUCAUCGGUAGAGCGCCUCACUAGUACCGUUCUUUGCAAGGCAAACACAUGAAAUGAGGAGGCAACAGGUUCGAUUCCUGUGUUGGGCA